GACGAACGCUGGCGGCGUGCCUAAUACAUGCAAGUAGAACGCUGAAGGAGGAGCUUGCUUCUCUGGAUGAGUUGCGAACGGGUGAGUAACGCGUAGGUAACCUGCCUGGUAGCGGGGGAUAACUAUUGGAAACGAUAGCUAAUACCGCAUAAUAGUAGAUGUUGCAUGACAUUUGCUUAAAAGGUGCAAUUGCAUCACUACCAGAUGGACCUGCGUUGUAUUAGCUAGUUGGUGAGGUAACGGCUCACCAAGGCGACGAUACAUAGCCGACCUGAGAGGGUGAUCGGCCACACUGGGACUGAGACACGGCCCAGACUCCUACGGGAGGCAGCAGUAGGGAAUCUUCGGCAAUGGACGGAAGUCUGACCGAGCAACGCCGCGUGAGUGAAGAAGGUUUUCGGAUCGUAAAGCUCUGUUGUAAGAGAAGAACGAGUGUGAGAGUGGAAAGUUCACACUGUGGCGGUAGCUUACCAGAAAGGGACGGCUAACUACGUG
rnacentral:rRNA from 1 species